AGUGCAAAUUGACACUGUGCCAUUGGAAAAUCCGGUUCUUCUUGGGACUCUAUAGGUAAAAACAUCACAAGUUCAUAGAAGCAACUGAAAUAUAUAAUAUUGAGUAGAGGAACAGCUUUUCAGGGAGAGUGACAUUGGGAGGUGGAUAAUUAGCUGAUUGGUAAAUUGGCACCAGUGGUAUUAGCAAAGGUUUCUAGGAAUUCUAGACUGAGCAAAGGACAUCUUUCCCAGCUAUGAGAUAUGACAGCUGAUAGCACCUCUUUUUGAGAUUAUGCAUACCCAUCUUGUUCAGAAAUAUUGGAAGAGCCACUAAAUUGCAUCAUCUCAGGGAAUUUUGUUCCUUCAUUUAUAUCUUAUCUGCUCUCCCCAGGAUUUAAGAGAGACAGGGAAAACAGUGUUUUAUUUAGUUCUGGUGAAGCGCCAGUGGGGAAGGUGGAGGUGGAGCGAGGCAAGUUAACACAACUAGGAGUGAGUCCUCAUCCCAGCCGAGAUACACAAUACAUUACCUACCUCAAUAUAGACCACUGGGAACUGAAAAGAAAGAAAUAGUAUGAGUGCGAGAUAGAGUUUAGAAAGAGAACACCAUGACAUUAGCCUUAAUACAGUACCGGGACCAGAGGAAGUAAGCCUGUUCACUUCUUGUCCAAAGGAGGAAAUGUGGCUCCAUUUCAUUCUCAACACUUUAUAUGUUUAGUUUGGGACAUACGCCUCUUAAGAAGUCAUGGCUUCCCUUUAAUGAGAUAACGUACAACUGAGAAACCUACAUUUAGGUGAAAAGGUCCUAAUAAUAGUUUACUUUGCAGACGAUGUUAAUCUCUGAGAAAUUCUCCAUUUCUCUAGGAGAGAAAUGAAAUGCAUUUAUUUUCUUCAGUUCAAUGAAAAUAACUGAGUCUUUAAGGGCAUAAUUUUAACUGAAUAUUUCAUUUGUUUUAAAAAUGUAGUUGAUGAACUGAUCUCCCUUAUUCUUCAGCAGCGAUACACUUUCGAGAUCUUUCUGUGAUAGAUUUAAGAAUCUCAUGUUGGUCUCGGUUCUCCAAAAGAAUAGGUUUUACGAUUUUGCCAAUCUUACCCACUGUUGUGACACUCACCAUUUCAUUCAAAGGGUGAAAAUUGACAUCCACAGAGACAAUGCGGAAUCUCACUGAAACACAGAGAUUUUUCUCAUGAAACCCUCCAGUGGGAACUCAGGGUGGUAAGACAGAUAACAACGUGCCAGGAUUUCCAUAAAUUAAUAGAGAAUGACACCUCCAACCCUUCAAAUUGCUUUUCACUCAUUUGGUUCUUUAUACCUGUUUGUCCUGGUUUGUAGAUGGGUUUGUCUGUCUGAACAAAGACAAGGCUUUCUGCUUUUGUUAUGUGCAUCCGCUUCCUCUUUAUGAAGUGCUGGGUUGGCCCUUUCACCUGCACAGUGAUGAACGCUGAGGAAGAUGACGACUCCGGAAUCUGUAAAACCGAAAUGAGCUGAAGAAUCUGCCCAGAUCCACUUCUGAAUGUCUCAGCCUUUGUGAUUUUCUCAUUUCUCUGGAGGGAUACUGACCAUGAAGGAGCUGCAGUAGAAGGAGUGCUUGGCCCCCAGGUCUGUGAGGAGAUUCCUGCUCUGCAUCUCAUACUCCAGAGUUACUGUCAGUUCCACUGACUCAUUCAGGUGAUUAAGCACGACACAGGCCUUCUCGGUAACGCCAGCAUACAGCUGUGAUGGGACCAGGACCAGAUGAUCUUUGCUAUCGUCACCAAUCAGAGAGCAGAGCCAGAUUUCAAGAGGAGUGGAGAGGAGUAUAUUCUUCAAAGACCAAACCAGAAGGCCUUAGAAACUCAGAAAACCCCUACCAAGUUAAACAUCAAGACGGAAGAAAAACUAGGCUAAUCAACAGACAUAUUACCACAUACAUGGUAAUAUACACGCAGAAGAAAACAUUCUCCUGUGGCGGUUCGCCCAUCGUUUACGAUCACCCAAACGUGCUGCACUUCGUGAUGUUCUGCUGGCCCGUGACUCUCUCUCUUUCUGGAGUGUCCUGGUCUAGCUGGAAAACUUCUAUUGGCUUCAUAAGACUCACCUCAAAAGCAACUUUCUUAUGUGGACUUUGGUGAUGCCCCUUCCCUUGUAUCAGUUCCCAUGAAGAGUUAGGUUAUCUCUGAGUAUUCUCACAGAAUCCUACAAUGCCUGGUUCUGUUUUUGCAUUUUAUUUCAUUCGCUGUGCACCAUCUCUCUAUCUCUCUCUUUUUUAUACUAUGAGGUACUAAGGGCAGGGGCCACAUUUUGUUAAUCUGUAUAUUCUCAAAUCUAAUGCCAGCCCUUAAGGUUUGCUGAAGGAUUGAGUGAAAUGACACACAAACCCUGGCUUGUCUGUAAGUCAUGCAUCUAUCUUGGGAAUACCUGCUUGGGGAAGAUACAGACACUGAGUCACUUUACAAUGGCCAAGACACUGCAGCCUUUUGGACCAGUCAAAAACGAAUUUAUCUUUUCUUGGUAGGAAUACUAUAUUCUUAUUUGAUGAAUGUUGUAGAAUUCUAUAAUCUUAUUUGGUAAAUGUUUCACAAAUGUUACUGCCCUAUAUCUCUGAGUUUUCUAGAACUGGAGUAUGCCUUUUACCACCUGUGCACUAACAAUUUAUCAACACUUCUGAGCUUUUUCAACAACAGAUAAUUUCAGACGGAAUCAGGAAAUAAGUAAAAAGACAAACAUCAAGAAGCUGAUAACACAAUGGGAAGAGGAGGGCAAUAGACUUUUCUGGAAAUGUUGCUUACGGUUUGGAGGUAGCUGAAGCAUCUCUGGGAAGGAGCAAGGAAAGCAGAAUCAAGACUGGAUUAGGCAGCUGACAUCCCCUCAUGGUGUAGAGAGGAAUAGGAAAGAAUGGGACUCUUGAGUCCUUGAUUCCUUGAACUCUGUUCUUGUUUCAGAAUCACUGGUUUUUAUUUUGCCUAAUGGGCAGUAAAAGUAAAUGGCUAACCAUUUAUUUUUGUAACAUAUUAACUACUUCCAGUAUAAAAAAAUCAAUUGCAGAUCACUUUCAUCCACUUGCUCAAAUUUUCUAAGUGCCUGAAAAAUAGUAUGUUGAGGCUACAUUAGCUCUGGUUCCUGCUCAAAUAUCUUGAAGAAAAAACAAAGUAAAUGACAUGAUUUGAUGAAAUCAAUCAAUACUCUUGAUCUUUUUCUUUUUUAACAAGAGCUAUUUAUGUAAAUACAUAUCCCAAAUCUCUUCUUGGUAGACCAGGGAGCAUCACAUAUUCUCCCAAGCUUCAUCCAAUACAGUUAUUUAAUGAAACAAAGAAAUAAAAUUUAUCACAGAUUUUAAACAAAGUAUGAAGAUAAUCUCUCCUUUGUUUAAAAGCUUAGCUUUUGCUUUUUACAACUAUCCUUAUAUUUGUUUGUUUAUAAAGAAAAUGAACCCACGUAAUGCAUUUUUAUAGUUUCUUAGUUCAUUUAACAUCUAGAAUAUAAAGCCAAUAAAUUUAUUUUAUCCUCUAAGGAAAUAAUCUUUAUGUGAUGAACAUUCUUAUUUAUUUUACCGUGAGAAAUAUAAACAUUUUAUCCAUAGUGAUCAUCAUCCUAUUUGCUUUUCUAAGGAGAUGGGAUGUUAGAAUCUAUUUUUAUGGAAUUCUGAAAAUUAAAAAGAUCCACACUAUUACGUUAGUAUAAUUAGGACUCCACAAAAUUCAAGUGUGUGUGUUUUGAAUAGAGAGCUGGUUUAAACUAUAAAAUUCAAUAUGAGGAGAAACAAGCACUCCCCUGGAUGAGGUAUAUUUAGUUCUUGACAUACAUUUUUGUAUAUGAUCUGAAAGAGUGAGAAAUGAAGAUACCGUACAUGACAGUCCUUAGUGAACUAUAAAACUACAGAUUUUUAAGAUAUUAAAAUUCACUAUUUACACUAUUUACAAUAGCCAGGACAUGGAAGCAACCUAAAUGUCCAUCAACAGAGGAAUGGAUAAAGAAGA